UUCGAGAAUAUGAUUAAACUGUUGUAAAAUUGGUAUGCAACUAUGACAUGAAGAAUAGUACAUUCCGUGCAAUAAAUUUUACUUAAUAUUCAAUGCAUAAUGCAAGCUUUUAUAAUUUUCUCAGACUCGUAGGGGUUGUUAAGUGUUUAAAACAUUUCUGGGGCAUAAAAAACCUGUAAAACUUAAUAGUCAGAGCCUAACUCAUCGAUUGGUAUGUAAGGUAGAUUGGUAUGUAAGAUUAUUUAGAACACAAAUUCUUAAAGUGCUGCAGCUGGUCAGACGAAAGAAAUCCAGGGUGCUUAUUCUAAUACUUAAAACAUCGGGAAUUGUUUAUAAUAGUGCUUCGAAAGGCACACGUGCCUGAAAAAACUUCCCCCGAAACAAUGAGUCAAAUGAUUGCCCCAAUCCUAGCGCCAAAAAGAAUCACCUUUUCGGAUGACGAACUAUCCGUCGAAGGGCGCAAUCAUGUCCAGCCUCUCAACAUCCCUGUCCGAUGCAAUGAAUAUAAGGUCCCUUUGGUCUUAAUUGACAACGGAUCAGGCCUAAACGCUUGCGAACGUAAUAGCUGAGUUGAGUCUUCUAGUCUAGUCAUCUCUUCGCCAAGAAGGAGAACUAAUAACAUAGAUACAAUCUAUAAUAGAUUGCCUACUCCCCUAAACAACUCAAACAAAGGCAAGGACUAGUCCUCCUCAACAUCUCGUAGCACAUAAACAAGACUCCAUAACGGAAGAUCAUUACCUUCUUCCGGGAUCGAGCGAUGGCUAUAAGUAGUAGCGGCGAACACUCAUGCUCUAUGGCCAUUUUCUUAAGAUUAUUUAGAACACAAAUUCUUAAAGUGCUGCAGCUGGUCAGACGAAAGAAAUCCAGGGUACUUAUUCUAAUACUUAAAAAAACAGAACAGGGACUAUUCAAUAAAAAACAAAGGAUUGAGUGCACUCCUAGAGACAUAGAAACCUAAUUUCCAAUUUGAAAAACGCUUAAAGCUGCAGGAAGAUCAAACGAGAAGCCGUCGAUGUGUGAAAAGAAAACAUUUACACUGUCCACUAUUACAAAAGAAUUGACUGCCGAUAAAUAAUAAAAGAUAAUAAGAGUACAACAGAUCUACAAUGACAUGGAAAAAAAGCAACGGAAGAAGAAUAACUAGAUUAACAAGUUGAAUAAUCAUGGCAUCUAGGUUUUUUGCCAAGCCCAAUCUUUCUUUAAAAAAAUCACAAGCUCUACAGAGCUAUUAAAGAAAAUUAUUCCGUAUUCCGUUCCGGUUAUAAUCAUCAAACCAGAUCCAAGGCUAAUCAAUAAGGGAAUCGGAAAGUUUCAGAAGGUUAGUAAAAUACAUAGCAAUCCAACAAUCCGAACCAAGAAUUAAGGGAAAAUGCAAGAAAAUGAUCAAACACAAAAACCACAGUACCGAAGGCAUAAAAAAUGAAAUCAAAUCAACACAAUCGCACAAUAAAUCAAGUUGAUUUACUUGUAUCAACGAAAGAAAAUGGAGAAAACAAGAUUUGGGAGAUUACCUUGUUAGAUGAAAAGAAAACUCGGAAGAGAUUGAAGAAGACGCGAGGCUUCUAGAUGCCGUGUGACAAGGAACUCUGUGAGAGGAGACAGACAAGAUGCUCAAUACACAUACACACACGUAUCAAUUUAUAUAUAUAUAUAUGGCAGCCUUAAGAGAACCGGGAGAAGGAAGACGAGCUCUUUUAGGUUUUAGGGCAAACUCAGCUUCGGAAAUUUUAAAUAAAUUAUUUUUCUGUUUUCACUAACCGUCCUACUCUAACAUAUUUGCCCUCUCCUUCUCAUUAUUUACGAUUUUACCCCUGGUCCAGCC
rnacentral:lncRNA from 1 species